rnacentral:rRNA from 1 species
UGGGGAAUAUUGCACAAUGGGCGAAAGCCUGAUGCAGCAACGCCGCGUGAAGGAAGAAGGGUUUCGGCUCGUAAACUUCUAUCAACAGGGACGAAGGAAGUGACGGUACCUGAAUAAGAAGCCCCGGCUAACUACGUGCCAGCAGCCGCGGUAAUACGUAGGGGGCAAGCGUUAUCCGGAAUUACUGGGUGUAAAGGGUGAGUAGGCGGCAUGGUAAGCCAGAUGUGAAAGCCUCGGGCUUAACCCGAGGAUUGCAUUUGGAACUAUCAAGCUAGAGUACAGGAGAGGAAAGCGGAAUUCCUAGUGUAGCGGUGAAAUGCGUAGAUAUUAGGAAGAACACCAGUGGCGAAGGCGGCUUUCUGGACUGAAACUGACGCUGAGGCACGAAAGCGUGGGGAGCGAACAGGAUUAGAUACCC